rnacentral:tRNA from 1 species
GGGUGGGUAGCUCAGUGGUUAGAGCAUAAGUCUUAUAACCGGAAGGUCCCGGGGUCGAAUCUCGCUAGAGGCA